CUGUGUCACUGUGCUUUGUUUUGCAGGCUGUGGUGGCCUUGGCUGUCACAGUGUGGGGGUUUGGUGAUAAUUCCUGUUCCAAGCCAGAAAAAGCACUCACGGAAGGAAGAGGCUGCACCCUGAACAUCUCCAGAGAGCCAAGGGCCAGCUCUGUGUGUGAAGAACCAUCCUCAGUGUCUGAAGAGGCCACAGGGACACUCUCACAUUAAUAAAGAGCUCUCUGGAGACCUCUCCAGCACAGCUGAAGUGCAGAAAUUACUGAAAAUGCUCCCAAACUCCUCUUACAGGGCUGAGACCAAGAGCUCCUGGUUUCCCCACAGUGAGUGGGGGUUGUUCGACCCCACCACUUUUAAUGACUUCACAGUAAAAGGAAAGUGAUUUCAAAUUUCCUUGGCAUCAGGAGCUGCUCUGUGGUAAAAUCCUCAUUUGUGUGUGAGGAAAAGGCAGGAGUUUGAGAGCCCAGGUGUUUCACAGCUCUGUAUCCCCGAGUUCAGCAUGGAGCUGUGCACUCUCGGCUCAUUCCUUGGGAACUGGUAAAAACAACACCUCUUUUCCUUGUUUUCCCCUCCCUUUUUACCCCCUGACUGCAGUGCAGGCACCAGCAGAGUGUUCCAACAGCACCGGGCUUUAAGGGAACUGCUGGAGCCAGAUCCAGACAGACGUUGUGUUUUACCUUGGAUCACGUUUAUUCUCAGAGUCAGAGCUUUCACUGCUCACCCACUGCUCUCCCUGGACUGGGAAUGCCAUUCCUCUGGAUCCAGGGUGUCCUCACACUCCUCCUGGGCAGAUAUUUGAUAAGUCCUGAUAAUGGGAUCCUGCAAAUCUGUCAGUGUAAUGAGUUCUCUGCAGUCUGGAAGGUGCCACUGUGGUUCUUGUUUUGAUCACAGGAUGCCACAGAGAGAAAACCUGCUGGGAAAAGGAGCUCUGAGCCUGUGGGAGAGCACCUUUCCCAUCUUCCUGCUUCCCUCUAAUAUUUUUUGUAAAUUCAUUGGAAAAUCCUGUUUUGCUU